GUCUGUUUCUUUUUACAUCUCAGAUCUGGUCAUGCCAGUGCCCAUACGAGGCCCACCGGCACCCCUUCUGGGAGAUGUUCUGUUUUCCAAGAAUAGACACAAUCACAAAAGCCAUUUAUCUUGGAAACACUUCACACAAAUACUUUCUUAAUUAAAUUCCAUCUCUAUCUUAGCACCUACGAAUGUAAGCCCUACUAAUAAAAUCCCAUCUCUAUUUCACUAGGUGUAUUAAACACCUACCAUGUGCCAGGACCUGUGGGAAGUGCAGGUGGGUACCGUGGGAGCACUCAGGAGAGCUGCUGACCUCACGGGUGCGGUGGUUAAGCAGCUGGGGAAGCGGGACCUGCACUCACCCUUGAACCCUCAACUCACCCUGUGCAUCAGUACAAGGCCAGGGCAGCAUCUUUAAUCAACCCAUUUACCCUUGAGAGACGGAGGCUCAAAGGGCUGAGCGGCUUACCUCGGUGUUAGGUAGAGGAGCCUGAAUCAGCCCAGGUCUCUGUUUUUCCCGCAGUGAACACCAUGACGGGACAUGCACAAAGGCAGGUGCACAGGCGGCGCUGAAUUCAGGCUGAGACUGGCGCUCAGUGGUGGCAUGGUGGCAGUUGACUCUGAACAACCUCCAGGAUUCAUCUCUCCUCAUUCACAGUGUGCCUAUGAGAUCCCAGGAAACAAAAACACGAGGAGGAGACUGAGUCUCAGAUCACCAGCUGUGUCACCUGGGACAAGGGCUAUCUGGAUGGACAUGAGGCUUCCAUCCUAGGAUACACACGGUCGGCUUACAGAGCAAGAGAAAGGAAGGACAAGGCUCAGGUGAGAGGGAGGAUGACACUCAGGCUAUGGCUGCUGUGGUCAGUGUUUACAAUGACUCUGGGCUGCAGAGAGCUCUCUAAGGCUUUGGCGUUAAUGUCUAGCUUCUGAAGACAGAUUGCCAAUUGCAGUCCCAGCAUCUAAUUAAUCAUUGGAGGAUGGAGUGGCUUGGGUUGUGGGGUCUAGAAGAACUGAGUUUGAAGCCUGCCCUGUCACUCUCUGCUUGUGUGAUAUUGGACAGGUCGCUUAAUCUCUCUGGGCUUUAGCUUCCUUAUCUGUAAAAUGGAGAUGAACAUAUCUAGCUCUCAUGGG
rnacentral:lncRNA from 13 species